GUGUCAGCCGCCGCGGUAAUACGGAGGAUGCGAGCGUUAUCCGGAUUUAUUGGGUUUAAAGGGUGCGUAGGCGGAUUACUAAGUCAGUGGUGAAAACCUUCAGCUUAACUGGAGACUUGCCAUUGAUACUGAUAGUCUUGAGUACGGUCAAGGUAGGCGGAAUGUGUAAUGUAGCGGUGAAAUGCUUAGAUAUUACACAGAACACCGAUUGCGAAGGCAGCUUACUGGGCCAUUACUGACGCUGAUGCACGAAAGCGUGGGGAGCGAACAGGAUUAGAUACCCUGGUAGUCCACGCCGUAAACGAUGAUCACUCGCUGUUGGCGAUACACAGUCAGCGGCUAAGCAAAAGCAUUAAGUGAUCCACCUGGGGAGUACGGCCGCAAGGCUGAAACUUAAAUGAAUUGACGGGG
rnacentral:rRNA from 1 species